CAGUCGCCGCGGGAAUACAGAGGGUGCGAGCGUUAAUCGGAUUUACUGGGCGUAAAGCGUGCGUAGGCGGCUUUUUAAGUCGGAUGUGAAAUCCCUGAGCUUAACUUAGGAAUUGCAUUCGAUACUGGGAAGCUAGAGUAUGGGAGAGGAUGGUAGAAUUCCAGGUGUAGCGGUGAAAUGCGUAGAGAUCUGGAGGAAUACCGAUGGCGAAGGCAGCCAUCUGGCCUAAUACUGACGCUGAGGUACGAAAGCAUGGGGAGCAAACAGGAUUAGAUACCCCGUGUAGUCCCUGUCUCUUAUU
rnacentral:rRNA from 1 species